AGUCCCGAGUGUCUUCGCUUACCCGUGGCGGGAAAACAAAAACUCCUCAGGUAGAAGCACGGAGAUGGCUGCAGCUGCUUCUUGGGUCUGGAGACUGGAGUGUGUUUGGGGAAGAAGCUUGGGAGGUGGCCUGGACUCGGGAGGUCUGAAUCAGGGAGAAAAGGAAGUCAGUAGACAGGAUUCCGUGCCUGGCUGUGGUGCACCCCCGCUCCCUAAAGGUUCCUGGUUAACAAAGCUACGAAAAAGGGAGCCUCCUUCAGGUAUUCCCCUGCCUCAGCCUGCCCUCUAGUGGAAGACCGCGGACUUACAGGAGCGCGGGCUUCCCCACUUGCCCUUUUCAAAACAAUGACCCUUCCCCACCUCACUUCAACUCCUGAACAAGGAUGCCAAGCCCCUGGGAAAGCCAAAUGGAAGGCAGUAUGACCAAAAGGAGAGAUUAUGUCAUCAUUUGGGAAUAAAAGCAUCAAAUGCAGCCACAGCUCCCUGAACAACACUUGCCUGGGCUCCUACUCAGUCACCAGGAAUCUGGUCUAGGCUGUUGUGUUCCAGCCUUCCCAAGGUUCCAGGUGUCCCAGAAACCCAGAAAAUCGAUGUUCCAGACUCCCAGAGAGGAUGGCAUCCAGAGGAGACCUCAGGCCCCUGUCCCAUAUCUGAAGAAGGCUGAUUGCGUCCACUCCAAGCCACCCUGGCUGCUCUGUGCUGCUGUGUUCUGCACGAGGCAUUGGUUCGGUGCGCGUGGUCCUGUUCUGGGCUCUGGAAGUUGCAACAAGGAGGAAGAUGAACAGUCCUUGCCCUGGAGGGGCUGCAGUCCAGCCAAGAACGCAAAGCACCAAGAGGAGGUUGGUGUGAAGAAAGAGGGCAGGCACUUGGCUUCGAGGAGGUGGCCGGACUUCCCCUGGACCUUGAGGAGUAUGUUGAGAAGAACAGGGAGCAGGUGGCUCAGACUGAGGGCCUUGGCGGUGCUGAAGGUAAAUUUAGA